CCUGCCUAACAGGACUCUGACCCUUCCCCAGCCAAUCGGCUGAGGCCACAACCAUUACCUCAUCAACUGCCCCUAGGCGCCAAUAAAACCUUUGUGCUUUUGAAACUCACUCUCUCUCCCCAGUAUCUCACCGCUGCGUCGGUGCAGAUCUACACAAAGACCUUGAUCAUGGGUUUCCAACCAGGGCUUGGCAGAAUGGCUCCUGAAAAGAAGGGUGCUGAGAAGAAGGUCCGUUCUGCCAACGAAGUAGUGACCAGAGAAUACACAUCAACGUUCACAAGCACAUCCAUGGAGUGGGUUUCAAGAAGUGUGCCUCUCUGGCAUACAAAAUGAUCUGGAAAUUUGCCAUGAAGGAGAAUGGGAACUCCAGAUGUGUGCAUUGACACCAGGCUCAGCAAAGGAAUGUUCCAAACUGUAUCCGCAUGCAGUUGUCCAGAAAACAUAAUGAGGAUGAAGAAUCACCAAACAAGCUCUAUAUGUUGGUGACUUAUGUACCUGUCACCACUUUCAAAAAUCUGCAGACAGUUAAUGUGGAUGAGAACUAAUUGCUGCUUGUCAAAUAAAGGUAUAAAACU